rnacentral:rRNA from 1 species
UACGAAGGGGGCUAGCGUUGUUCGGAAUUACUGGGCGUAAAGCGCACGUAGGCGGAUUGUUAAGUUAGAGGUGAAAGCCUGGAGCUCAACUCCAGAACUGCCUUUAAAACUGCAUCGCUUGAAUCCAGGAGAGGUGAGUGGAAUUCCGAGUGUAGAGGUGAAAUUCGUAGAUAUUCGGAAGAACACCAGUGGCGAAGGCGGCUCACUGGACUGGUAUUGACGCUGAGGUACGAAAGCGUGGGGAGCAAACAGG